rnacentral:sRNA from 1 species
CGAUCGAUCAUAAGGGAGCUGACUGCAAAUCUGCCGUCAUCGACUUCAAGGUUCGACUCGAUCAAUAGUGAGAGAACGUUGCCGCAGGCAACGGCCCGAAGGGUGAGGAGCUUUAGCUCCGAAUAAUCCUUCCCACGAUAG